rnacentral:rRNA from 1 species
UACGUAGGGCGCAAGCGUUGUCCGGAAUUAUUGGGCGUAAAGAGCUCGUAGGCGGCUUGUCACGUCGGGUGUGAAAGCCCGGGGCUUAACCCCGGGUCUGCAUUCGAUACGGGCUAGCUAGAGUGUGGUAGGGGAGAUCGGAAUUCCUGGUGUAGCGGUGAAAUGCGUAGAUAUCAGGAGGAACACCGGCGGCGAAGGCGGCCCUCUGGCUCGUUGCUGACGCUGAAACGCGAAAGCGUGGGGAGCAAACAGG